UGGCUAGAAAUUGAUGGAAACGGUGGGGAAAAACACAUGAACUAGACUCUAGCAAGGCCUAACCAGCAACAAGACAUCGACUAGGACACAAACUCAACACUGCAGACUCUAAGACUGAAAUAUGCAAAGGCUAUGGCUUGAAAGGUUUGUAGGACAGGAAAACGAUAUGACACUGGACUUAUAGGACGAACACAAGAACACUCAAAACUAAGGAUAGAUGUGAAUCUAACGGUAUACCUAAAGCUUUGAUUACCACUUGAUGAGAACAAGGGUGGCCUGAUCUUCCGAAAGGUUCUAGUAACUCUCGAUUUGGUGGAGACGAGACACAAAUCGAUUUGGCUUUCGAACAACACGAUCCGAAACCCUGCAUUUUUUUAUUUUUUUUAUAUUUUUCUUUUACCUAGGAGCACUAAAAAGUAACCACAAAAAAUUUGUGCUUAAACAAGUGAAAGACGUGGCCUGCAGAAUUUUCUAAAGAUUGCGAAAAAUGUGAAAAAAACUUCAUGAGGAGAAAACUCAAACUUUGGAGGCAAAUUUCAAGAUAAAAUUAUCAAACCCGCUAAAGUCACAGACAGACAGAUCUGAAAUUUUUUUAUGAUCGAAUUUGAUAUAGGUAACGUUGAAAUCAGAGUUUGUAUGUGAAAGUUAUGGUUUGUUUACAAAUGCACUUCGAAAUACAGGAAAAAACGGUCCAGAAGUGGGAAAAAUUUGCGGCGCUGGCUAGAAAUUGAUGGAAACGGUGGGGAAAACACACGAACUGGACUCUAACAAGACCUAACCAGCAACAAGACCUCGACCAGGACACAAACUCAACACUGCGGACUCUGAAACUGAAAUAUGCAAAGGUUAUGGCGCGGAAGGGAUGUAGGACAGGAAAACGAUAUGGCACUGGACUUAUGGGACGAACACAAGAACACUCAAAACUAAGGGUAGACAUGAACCUAACGGUAUACCUGAAGCUUUGAUUACCACUUGAUGAGAACAAGGGUGGCCCGAUCUUUCGAAAGGUUCUGGUAACUCUUGAUUUAGUGGAGACGAGACACAAAUCGAUCCGGCUUCGGAACAACACGAUCCGAAACCCUGCAAUUUUUUUUAUUUUUUUGAUAUUUUAUUUUACUUAGGAGCACUAAAGAAGUAACCACAAAAAAUUUGAGCUUAAACAAGUGAAACACAUGGCCUGCGGAAUUUUCUGAAGAUUGCGAAAAAUAUGAAAAAAACUUCACGAGGUUAAAACUCAAACUUCGGAGGCGAAUUUGGAGAUUCUAAAAUUUUCAAGCCCGCUAGUACUAGGGACAGGCAGAUCCAAAAAUUUUUCUGAUCGAUUUUGAUAUAUAGAACGUUGAAUUCAGAGUUCGUAUGCGAAAGUUGUAGCUGUUUUAUGAACAGACUCCAAAUUAGAGGACAAAAUGGUCCGAAAGUGGGAAAAAUUUGUGGCGGUGGCUAGAAAUUGAUAGAAACGGUGGGAAAAACACACGAACUGGACUCUAACAAGACCUAACCAGCAACAAGACCUCAACUAGGACACAAACUCAACACCGCGGACUCUAAAACUGAAAUAUGCAAAGGCUAUGGCGCGGAAGGGUUGUAGGACAGGAAAACAAUAUGGCACUAUACUUAUGGGACAAACACAAGAACACUCGAAACUAAGAGUAGAUGUGAACCUAACGGUAUACCUAAAGCUUUGAUUACCACUUGAUGAGAAGAAGGGUGGCCCGAUCUUCCGAAAGGUUCUAGUAACUCUCGAUUUGGUGGAGACGAGACACAAAUCGAUCCGGCUUGCGAACAACACGAUCCGAAACCCUGCAAUUUUAUUUUAUUUUUUCGAUAUUUUUCUUUUACUUAGGAGCACUGAAUAAGUAACCAUAGAAAAUUUGAGCUUAAACAAGUGAAAUACGUGGCCUGCGGAAUUUUUUGAAGAUUGCAAAAAAUGUGAAAAAACAUCACGAGGUGAAAACUCAAACUUCGGAGGCAAAUUUAUAGAUUCUAAAAUUUUCAAACCUGCCAAUGGAAGGAACAGACAGAUCAAAAAAAAAUUUUUAGAUCGAUUUUGCUAUAUGGAACGUUGAAAUCGGAGUUCAUAUGUGAAAGUUAUGGUUGUUUUAAUAACGGACUCCGAAUUAGAGGACAAAACGGUGCGAAAGUGGGAAAAAAUUUCGGCAGUGGCUAGAAAUUGAUGGAAACGGUGGGGAAAAACACACGAACUGGACUCUAACAAGACCUAACCAGCAACAAGACAUCGACUAGGACACAAACUCAACACUGCGGACUCUAAGACUAAAAUAUGCAAAGGCUAUGGCUUGAAAGGUUUGUAGGACAGGAAAACGAUAUGACACUGGACUUAUGGGACGAACACAAGAACACUCAAAACUAAGGAUAGAUGUGAAUCUAACGAUAUACCUAAAGCUUUGAUUACCACUUGAUGAGAACAAGGGUGGCCUGAUCUUCCGAAAGGUUCUAGUAACUCUCGAUUUGGUGGAGACGAGACACAAAUCGAUUUGGCUUUCGAACAACCCGAUCCGAAACCCUGCAUUUUUUUUAUUUUUUUUAUAUUUUUCUUUUACCUAGGAGCACUAAAAAGUAACCACAAAAAAUUUGUGCUUAAACAAGUGAAAGACGUGGCCUGCAGAAUUUUCUGAAGAUUGCGAAAAAUGUGAAAAAACUUCAUGAGGAGAAAACUCAAACUUUGGAGGCAAAUUUUAAGAUAAAAUUAUCGAACCCGCUAAAGUCACAUACAGACAGAUCUGAAAUUUUUUUAUGAUCGAAUUUGAUAUAGGUAACGUUGAAAUCAGAGUUUGUAUGUGAAAGUUAUGGUUUGUUUACAAAUGCACUCCGAAAUAGAGGAAAAACGGUCCAGAAGUGGGAAAAAUUUGCGGCGCUGGCUAGAAAUUGAUGAAAAUAGUGGGGAAAAACACACGAACAGGACUCUAACAAGACCCAACCAGCAACAAGACCUCGACCAGGACACAAACUCAACACUGCGGACUCUGAAACUGAAAUAUGCAAAAGCUACGGCGCGGAAGGGAUGUAGGACAAGAAAACGAUAUGGCACUAGACUUAUGGGACGAACACAAGAACACUCGAAACUAAGGGUAGAUGUGAACCUAACGGUAUACCUGAAGCUUUGAUUACCACUUGAUGAGAACAAGGGUGGCCCGAUCUUCCGAAAGGUUCUGGUAACUCUCGAUUUAGUGGAGACGAGACACAAAUCGAUCCGGCUUCAGAACAACACGAUCCAAAACCCUACAAUUUUUUUUAUUUUUUUUGAUAUUUUAUUUUACUUAGGAGCACUAAAGAAGUAACCACGGAAAAUUUGAGCUUAAACAAGUGAAAGACAUGGCCUGCGGAAUUUUCUGAAGAUUGCGAAAAAUGUGAAAAAAACUUCACGAGGUUAAAACUCAAACUUCGGAGGCGAAUUUGGAGAUUCUAAAAUUUUCAAGCCCGCUAGUACUAGGGACAGGCAGAUCCAAAAAUUUUUCUGAUCGAUUUUGAUAUAUAGAACGUUGAAAUCAGAGUUCGUUGCGAAAGUUGUGGCUGUUUUAUGAACAGACUCCAAAUUAGAGGACAAAACGGUCUGAAAGUGGGAAAAAAUUGUGGCGGUGGCUAGAAAUUGAUGGAAACGGUGGGAAAAAACACACGAACUAGACUCUAACAAGACCUAACCAGCAACAAGACCUCAACUAGGACACAAACUCAACACCGCGGACUCUGAAACUGAAAUAUGAAAAGGCUAUGGCACGGAAGGGUUGUAGAACAGGAAAACAAUAUGGCACUAUACUUAUGGGACAAACACAAGAACACUCAAAACUAAGAGUAGAUGUGAACCUAACGGUAUACCUAAAGCUUUGAUUACCACUUGAUGAGAACAAGGGUGACCCGAUCUUCCGAAAGGUUCUAGUAACUCUCGAUUUGGUGGAGACGAGACACAAAUCGAUUUGGCUUUCGAACAACACGAUCCGAAACCCUGCAUUUUUUUAUUUUUUUUAUAUUUUUCUUUUACCUAGGAGCACUAAAAAGUAACCACAAAAAAUUUGUGCUUAAACAAGUGAAAGACGUGGCCUGCAGAAUUUUCUAAAGAUUGCGAAAAAUGUGAAAAAACUUCAUGAGGAGAAAACUCAAACUUUGGAGGCAAAUUUCAAGAUAAAAUUAUCAAACCCGCUAAAGUCACAGACAGACAGAUCUGAAAUUUUUUUAUGCU
rnacentral:lncRNA from 1 species